rnacentral:rRNA from 1 species
AGAGUUUGAUUCUGGCUCAGGAUGAACGCUGGCGGCGUGCCUAAUACAUGCAAGUCGUACGAGGGAAGUCCAGCUUGCUGGACGGAACGAGUGGCGAACGGGUGAGUAAUACGUAAGCAACCUGCCUGCAAGGACUGGGAUAACACCUGGAAACGGGCGCUAAUACCGGAUAGGUAACAAAGGGGCAUCCCUAUGUUAUUAAAGGUUAGAAACACAAGCAGAUGGGCUUACGGUGCAUUAGCUAGUUGGUGAGGUAACGGCCCACCAAGGCGAUGAUGCAUAGCCGGCCUGAGAGGGUGAACGGCCACAUUGGGACUGAGACACGGCCCAGACUCCUACGGGAGGCAGCAGUAGGGAAUUUUCGGCAAUGGACGAAAGUCUGACCGAGCAACGCCGCGUGAGUGAAGAAGGUUUUCGGAUUGUAAAGCUCUGUUGUAAGGGAAGAACAGCACGGAAAGAAUCCGUGAAUGACGGUACCUUACCAGAAAGCCACGGCUAACUACGUGCCAGCCGCAGC